rnacentral:rRNA from 1 species
UGGCGACCGGCGCACGGGUGAGUAACGCGUAUGCAACUUACCUAUCAGAGGGGGAUAACCCGGCGAAAGUCGGACUAAUACCGCAUGAAGCAGGGGUCCCGCAUGGGGAUAUUUGCUAAAGAUUCAUCGCUGAUAGAUAGGCAUGCGUUCCAUUAGGCAGUUGGCGGGGUAACGGCCCACCAAACCGACGAUGGAUAGGGGUUCUGAGAGGAAGGUCCCCCACAUUGGUACUGAGACACGGACCAAACUCCUACGGGAGGCAGCAGUGAGGAAUAUUGGUCAAUGGCCGAGAGGCUGAACCAGCCAAGUCGCGUGAGGGAUGAAGGUUCUAUGGAUCGUAAACCUCUUUUAUAAGGGAAUAAAGUGCGGGACGUGUCCCGUUUUGUAUGUACCUUAUGAAUAAGGAUCGGCUAACUCCGUGCCAGCAGCCGCGGUAAUACGGAGGAUCCGAGCGUUAUCCGGAUUUAUUGGGUUUAAAGGGUGCGUAGGCGGCCUUUUAAGUCAGCGGUGAAAGUCUGUGGCUCAACCAUAGAAUUGCCGUUGAAACUGGGGGGCUUGAGUAUGUUUGAGGCAGGCGGAAUGCGUGGUGUAGCGGUGAAAUGCAUAGAUAUCACGCAGAACCCCGAUUGCGAAGGCAGCCUGCCAAGCCAUUACUGACGCUGAU